rnacentral:misc_RNA from 1 species
GAUGAAGAACGCAGCGAAAUGCGAUACGUAAUGUGAAUUGCAGAAUUCAGUGAAUCAUCGAAUCUUUGAACGCAUAUUGCGCUCUCUGGUAUUCCGGAGAGCAUGCUUGUUUGAGUAUCAGUAAACACCUCAACUCCCCUUUCUUUUUUUGAAAUGGGAGCUGGACUUGAGUGAUCCCAACGCUUUUCUCACCGAAAAGUGGCGGGUUACUUGAAAUGCAGGUGCAGCUGGACUUUUCUCUGAGCUAAAAGCAUAUCUAUUUAGUCUGCCUAAAAAACAGAUUAUUACCUUUGCUGCAGCUAACAUAAAGGAGAUUAGUUCUUGUGCUGACUGAUGCAGGAUUCACAGAGACAGCUUCGGCUGGCCUUUGUAAACUCGAUCUCAAAUCAAGUAAGACUACCCGCUGAACUUAAGCAUAUCAAUAACGGAGGA